GAUCCUGGCUCAGGAUGAACGCUAGCGACAGGCUUAACACAUGCAAGUCGAGGGGCAGCGGGGAGUAGCAAUACUCUGCCGGCGACCGGCGCACGGGUGAGUAACGCGUAUGCAACUUGCCUAUCAGAGGAGAAUAGCUCAUCGAAAGAUGAAUUAAUGCUCCAUGAAACAGGGGUCCCGCAUGGGAAUAUUUGUUAAAGAUUCAUCGGUGAUGGAUGGGGAUGCG
rnacentral:rRNA from 1 species